ACCCAACCCACGCUCCUAGGGCCAGCGGUUUCCUCUGUGAAGAAGGGGCUUUGCUAUGGGAAAGGUCUGUUUCAUCUCUUGGCACAGCUCUUGGGAUGCUGGGACAAACUUGUUCUGAGCAGAAGGCUGCUGUGUGGCACCCACAGGGCUGCUCCUCUUGCUUUGCUGGGGCCCUGAGUAUCUCUGAACUGAAACUCCAUGCCGCCAGCUCCCCAUCAAAGCUUCAUUUUCUUGCAUCCUGCUGGGAUGCCGUGAUGACCAAGCCUCCUCUCUGCUAUUAACCCAGGCAGGAAGGGCAGGCGCCCAAGCAUGCAGCCCCACUGCUGCUGCCGCUGACCCCGAACCGUGGCCGGAGGUGGCUCAGCACCAUGGUGCCAGCACUACUCAUUAACUGGGAUUUGCGUCAUGGGAAGACACUGAAGAUGGCCCUCGAGGGUCGCCCACCUCGGCCAACCCACGAGGAUCAGGGCUGGGGUGUCUGCGUCGCCUUGCUUGUGCCCUGGGGCUCCAGGGAGGCAGAGGACCCGAUUCCUGUCCAUCCCGUGGGCUGUAGGCUGCAUCGACGCUGAGCUUAAAGGGAUGGUGGUCAAAUAGAGCCACGGUCAAACCGCUGUCACCAUCUGUUCCUUUGGGUGAUGCUGAGCCCUGCUCACGCCCCAUCACUGACAGUUCUGUGUAGUGGCAGUGUCAAAAUCCACGUCAAUCGACUUCGGUUCGUCCGAGGCUGUGCAGCAGGUUGGCCUGGGGCAGCCGAUCCCGCAGCCCUUCCGUGUGCUGCCGGGGGAUGGGGCGCAGGGGGACCUGAGAGCCGCGGCCGUGGGGAUGCCGGCGCUCCUGGGCAGCCGUGAGCUGUGCCCCGAUUUGUUCCUCCUUAGUUUCUCUUCGUCCUCCUGUUUUUGUUUGUUUUCUUUCCACUUUUUUUCCCUUCUAAAUUUUUUCUGAUUUCGUUAUUUUGUCUUUUUUUUCCCAUUUUUUUCCCUACUUCCUUAUCUUUUGUGUUCUCAUCUUUCUUUUUCAUCUUUUUGUUCCUCUAUUUUUCUGGUUUUUUUUUUUCCAUUUUUUCUUUUUUUCCCCUGUUUUAUUUUCCACUUUUUUUCCUUUUCCUGUAAUUCCCUUUUGCUCUUUUUCUUUACUUCAUCAUUUCCUCUUUUUUCAUUAUUUUUGUUUGUUUUCCCUUUAUUUUGUUUUCUUUCCAUUUUCCUUAUUUACAUUUGUGUGUGUGCGUACUUUUUUUUUUCUUUCCCCCUUUUUUCCCCACGCUUCUGUUUUGUUUUUUCUUUUAUUUUUUUUUUUCCACCCCUCCUUUCUUCUCUUUCUUCCCCCUUUUUCUUUUCCUUCUUUUUUUCGUUUCUCACUUCUUCCAUCACCUGUUUAGCUUUUUUUUCUCCCCAUCCCCCCCGCUGGGGCGGGCAGUGCGGGGCUCGGGGCGGUCCCUGGGCGGUGCCGGGCGGGGAGCGGCGGCCCCGGGGCAGUAAAGGGCCGGGAGCGGGAGCGGGGCGCGGCCCGCCGCUCGCCAUGAGGGCAGCGCUCGCUCCCGGCAUCCGCCUGCUGCGCGCCGUGCCCCGGGACAGCCGCUACCGUGGACUGACGCUAGUGCUGACCUUCCUCUCCUACACCAGCUACCACCUCUCCCGAAAACCCAUCAGCAUCGUCAAGAGCCAGCUGCACCUCAACUGUUCGGCACUGGGCACCAACCCCCACAACGACUCCAACAGCACCACGUGGUGCAGCUGGGCGCCCUUCGAUCAGGACAACUACAACGAGCUUUUUGGUGCUCUGGACAAUGCCUUCCUUGUGGCGUAUGCCAUCGGGAUGUUCAUCAGUGGCAUUUUCGGGGAGCGGCUGCCGCUGCGGUACUACCUGUCAGUGGGCAUGGUGCUGAGUGGGAUCUUCACAGCACUCUUUGGCUUUGGCUACUUCUGGAACAUCCACGUCCUGUGGUACUUCAUUGUUGUGCAGGUGUGCAAUGGGCUGGCACAGACGACCGGCUGGCCCGCAGUCGUGGCAUGCGUCGGGAACUGGUUUGGGAAGGGGAAGAGGGGUCUGAUCAUGGGCAUCUGGAACUCACACACCUCUGUGGGCAAUAUCCUGGGCUCUCUCAUUGCGGGCGUCUGGGUGUCCUCUGACUGGGGCUUGUCCUUCAUCGUGCCCGGCAUAAUCAUCGCUGUCAUAGGCAUUAUCUGCUUCUUCUUCCUUGUGGAGCGUCCUGAGGACGUUGGCUGCAGCCCCCCCCAGCAACACGAUGCAUCAGAUGAGAAGGAUCCCGAAGGGGUGACCUCUGAGGACUGCAGCAGCACUGACUCCAAAAAGCUGGCUGAGGAGCUUGAAGCCAUCAGCUUCCUCGGGGCACUCUGGAUCCCCGGUGUAGUGGAGUUCUCCCUUUGCCUACUCUUUGCCAAGCUGGUGAGCUACACCUUCCUCUACUGGCUGCCACUUUACAUCGUGAAUGUUGCUCACUUUGGUGCCAAGGAAGCUGGAGACCUGUCCACCCUCUUUGAUGUUGGCGGUAUUUUAGGCGGGAUCUUUGCUGGCCUCAUUUCUGACUACACUGGUGGCCGGGCCACUACGUGCUGCGUGAUGCUGGUGGUGGCUGCUCCCAUGCUGUUCCUGUACAACUACAUUGGACAGAAUGGCAUUGGCACAUCUAUAGUAAUGCUGAUCGUCUGCGGUGCGCUGGUGAACGGCCCCUAUGCACUCAUCACCACGGCAGUGUCAGCAGAUUUGGGAACCCAUGAGUCCCUCAAAGGAAACGCAAGAGCUCUCUCCACCGUCACAGCCAUCAUCGACGGCACGGGAUCCAUAGGUGCUGCUCUGGGGCCUCUCCUGGCAGGGCUUAUCUCCCCCACCGGCUGGAAUAAUGUAUUCUACAUGCUGAUAGCAGCUGACGUCUUGGCUUGCCUGCUCCUUGCUCGUGUGGUGGUCAAAGAGGUGCGCGCAUGCUAUGGCUGCAUGGCGAGGAAGAGAGGGUAUGUCCAGCGUGGCAUGGGGAUGUUUGUGGGACAUGGCCGAGGGAUCGCAGUGCUGAGCACCAUCCUUGUGUCUUGUAGCUCUAGUGUGCAGCUCACAGAGUCAGUGCUGGAUGGGAAGUAGCUCGGUGUGAGUACCUCCGGCUGCACCCGCUUCAGCACCAGCACUGAAUGCAAACACUGAUCAGCCCCAGUGCUUGGCGUGUCACUGGCAGCCACACUCCAGCUGGAGGUGUCCCUGCUCGCUGGGGAGUUGGACCAGGCGGUCUUUAAAGGUCCCUUCCAACGCAAACCAUUCUGUGAUUCUAUGAUUGCAAAUAAUUCCAUGGCCAAGCCAAAGGACCCAACCCCAGCGAGAGGGCGUGCUGCAGGCAGGCACUCAGCACAUCCCCAUCUCCAAUGCCUUGGGACGCACAGUACUGAUUAACUCCACACAGCCAAAUUUAGAGGCUGCCCACCUGUGCUAAUGAGUAGAUGACGCUGCUAAUCAGCUCACGGCCAGAUUGCUGUGGGGAGGGUGCACCUAAAUCAUUUCCAAAUCAGCACCGGCCAAACGCCACGGUGAGCCGUGCUGUGCAGCCCAACACGAGCUCCUCCAUCUUGUGCCCGCAGGUGAGGAGCAGCGUCGGUCCUCCUGGCGGUAAGUGCGGCCGGAGCUGCGGCCCCACUGCCGCUUCUGUGCUGUCUGCACCGCGCUGCGGGCGGCGCCUCUGGGGAACGCUGCGGGGCUUCGGGCCGCUCCCGCUCUGCCUGGAGGUUCAAGCGGUUCUGACGCGCCCUCGCCAGCCGUCCCGCGCUGCCGAAGGGUGAAGGCACGCGGCCGCCGUGCCGCCAUGUCACCGUGCCACCGCGCCAGCCCCGGGCCUGUCCCGCCACCAUUUUGUCUCGGUGGGAGGAGGAGGCGGCCAGGAGCAGCGGACAGUGUUGGGGCCAGUUCUGCGCCAUCGGCUGU